AGUCGGUUAGCUCAGUCAGUAGAGCGUAGCGCUAACAAUGCUAAGGUCGCGUGUUCGAUUCCCACACGGUCCC
rnacentral:tRNA from 1 species